rnacentral:tRNA from 1 species
AAUGAGUUGCCUGACUAAAGGGCUAUUUUGAUAGAAUAGAUCAUGUAAUUAAAUUACACUUAUUA